AGUGAACGCUGGCGGUAGGCCUAACACAUGCAAGUCGAACGGCAGCACAGUAAGAGCUUGCUCUUACGGGUGGCGAGUGGCGGACGGGUGAGGAAUACAUCGUAAUCUACUUUUUCGUGGGGGAUAACGUAGGGAAACUUACGCUAAUACCGCAUACGACCUACGGGUGAAAGCAGGGGAUCUUCGGACCUUGCGCGAUUGAAUGAGCCGAUGUCGGAUUAGCUAGUUGGCGGGGUAAAGGCCCACCAAGGCGACGAUCCGUAGCUGGUCUGAGAGGAUGAUCAGCCACACUGGAACUGAGACACGGUCCAGACACCUACGGGAGGCAGGAGUGGGGAAUAUUGGACAAUGGGCGCAAGACUGAUCCAGCUAUACCGCGUGGGUGAAGAAGGCCUUCGGGUUGUAAAGCCCUUUUGUUGGGAAAGAAAAGCAGCAGGUUAAUACCCCGCUGUUCUGACGGUACACAAAGAAUAAGCACCGGCUAACUUCGU
rnacentral:rRNA from 1 species